rnacentral:lncRNA from 10 species
AUUAAUAAUCGUGAUAUUAAGAAUAGUAGCAAUCAUUCAUAUAGUAUUUAUUUAUGUGCCAGGUACUAUUUUAAGGCUUUGCAUAUAUUAACUCAUUCAGUCUUUCCAACAACUUUGUAAGUUGAGUACCAUUAUUGUUCCCACUUCACAGAUGGAGAAAGUGAGGUACAGAAUGGUUAAGGAACUAGCCUGAGUUACAUAGCUAGUAAAUGGCAGAGCUGGGAUUGCAGCCCUGACAAAUUGGCACCAGAAUCCAUGUAGUAUAUCUCCUAAUAGCAAUACAAUGUGCGGAAAUAUAGAUACACCGAUUUUAAGAUCAAGAAAUAGAUUCCACAAGAAGUGUAACUGCAGCAAUCAUGUGGACUUGAUUUUAUGGGGCAGCUGUGAUCCAAAAUAUUCUAGGCAGUUGUCUGCACAAGGACACUUGUGUUUGUCGGAUCAUGUGCUCCCUAAACUGAAAUGUGCUUGGCUCAUAUCCCAUUGCUAAAUGUACUUGCAUGUGUGAUCCUGAAUUUAACUGUUGUAUUUGUUUCUUUACAGAUUUAUUUGAAACUCUGGUGUGGUGGUUAAUACUAAGUGUCAACUUGAUUGGAUUGAAGCAUGCCAAACUAUUGAUCCUGGGUGUGUCUGUGAGAGUGUCACCAAAGGAGAUUAACAUUUAAGUCAGGGGGCUGGGGAAGACAGACCCACCCUUAAUCUGGUGGUCACAAUCUAGUCAGCUGCCAGCUGCUAUAAAGCAGGCAGAAAAUCCUGAAAAGGCGAGACUGGCCUAGCCUCCCAGCCUCCAUCUUUCUCCUGUGCUGGGUGCUUCCUGCUGUCAAACAUCAGACUCCAAGUUCUUCAGUUUUGAGCUUUGGAUUGGCUCUCCUUGCUCCUCAAGCUUGCAGUCAGCCUAUUGUGGGACCUUCUGAUCGUCUAAGUUAAUACUUAAUAAAAUCCUGUAUAUAC